rnacentral:rRNA from 1 species
AUUGAACGCUGGCAGCAGGCCUAACACAUGCAAGUCGAGCUGAGCGGCGGACGGGUGAGUAAUGCCUAGGAAUCUGCCUUGUAGUGGGGGAUAACGUCCGGAAACGGGCGCUAAUACCGCAUACUUUCAGAUGAGCCUAGGUCGGAUUAGGUAGUUGGUGGGGUAAAGGCCUACCAAGGCGACGGUCCGUAACUGGUCUGAGAGGAUGAUAAGUCACACUGGAACGGAGACACGGCCCAAACGCAUACGGGAGGCAGCAGUGGGGAAUAGUGGACAAUGGGCGAAAGCCUGAGCCAGCCAUGCCGCGUGUGUGAAGAAGGCCUUCGGGGUGUAAAGUACUUUCAGCGGGGAGGCGUUACCCGCAGAAGAAGCACCGGCUAACUCCGUGCCAGCAGCCGCGGUAAUUC